GCCGGAGUGGUGAAACUGGUAGACGCGCUGGACUCAAAAUCCAGUCUAGCUUUGCUAGGUGGGGGUUCGAGUCCCCCCUCCGGCACCA
rnacentral:tRNA from 1 species